UCCUUGAAAUACCACCCUUUAAUGGCUGGUGUUCUAACGUGGGCCCGUAAUCCGGGUUGCGGACAGUGUCUGGUGGGUAGUUUGACUGGGGCGGUCUCCUCCCAAAGAGUAACGGAGGAGCACGAAGGUUAGCUAAUCCUGGUCGGACAUCAGGAGGUUAGUGCAAAGGCAUAAGCUAGCUUGACUGCGAGAGUGACGGCUCGAGCAGGUGCGAAAGCAGGUCUUAGUGAUCCGGUGGUUCUGAAUGGAAGGGCCAUCGCUCAACGGAUAAAAGGUACUCCGGGGAUAACAGGCUGAUACCGCCCAAGAGUUCAUAUCGACGGCGGUGUUUGGCACCUCGAUGUCGGCUCAUCACAUCCUGGGGCUGAAGUAGGUCCCAAGGGUAUGGCUGUUCGCCAUUUAAAGUGGUACGCGAGCUGGGUUUAGAACGUCGUGAGACAGUUCGGUCCCUAUCUGCCGUGGGCGCUGGAGAAUUGAGGGGGGCUGCUCCUAGUACGAGAGGACCGGAGUGGACGCAUCACUGGUGUUCGGGUUGUCAUGCCAAUGGCACUGCCCGGUAGCUAAAUGCGGAAGAGAUAAGUGCUGAAAGCAUCUAAGCACGAAACUUGCCCCGAGAUGAGUUCUCCCUGAGACUU
rnacentral:rRNA from 2 species